UUGGAGAUGUCCUGUGUUUUGUUGGCCC
rnacentral:piRNA from 1 species